AUGUUUACAGCACUAUGGCUAUAAGCACUUUGUAUACUUAGAUUAUCAAACCCAUAGAUGGAUCAUUGAUGUCAUGGGAGAACUGUAAAGGUUUGGCUCAAGCCCAUAGUUAUUAGAUAAUUCAAAUUCAAUGUAACAUUUUGCAUAGUAAUUAAAGGCGUGCCUGAGACUCAAGGCUCACCCGGCUUCAACCUAGCACCUCAACAGGAGAAAGGCAAGCGACAUUUAUCGGGUCCCCGCUUAUGUGCCUAGACGUGCGACUUGUUCUAAGCGCAAGGCUCUGGAAAAGCACAACUUCUUUAUUUCCA
rnacentral:misc_RNA from 1 species